rnacentral:rRNA from 1 species
UACGAAGGGGGCUAGCGUUGCUCGGAAUCACUGGGCGUAAAGCGCACGUAGGCGGAUCUUUAAGUCAGGGGUGAAAUCCCAAGGCUCAACCUUGGAACUGCCUUUGAUACUGGGGGAUCUCGAGUCCGGAAGAGGUUGGUGGAACUGCGAGUGUAGAGGUGAAAUUCGUAGAUAUUCGCAAGAACACCAGUGGCGAAGGCGGCCAACUGGUCCGGAACUGACGCUGAGGUGCGAAAGCGUGGGGAGCAAACAGGG